rnacentral:rRNA from 1 species
UACGUAGGGGGCAAGCGUUGUUCGGAAUGACUGGGCGUAAAGGGUGCGUAGGCGGUGUAGCAAGUUAGAAGUGAAAUACCUAGAGCUUAACUCAGGUGCUGCUUCUAAAACUGCUAUACUUGAGUGCGGUAGAGGAAAGUGGAAUUCCUAGUGUAGCGGUGGAAUGCGUAGAUAUUAGGAGGAACAUCAGUGGCGAAGGCGACUUUCUGGACUGUAACUGACGCUGAGGCACGAAAGUGUGGGGAGCAAACAGG